rnacentral:rRNA from 1 species
GCGGCGUGCUAUACAUGCAAGUCGAACGAACUCUGGUAUUGAUUGGUGCUUGCAUCAUGAUUUACAUUUGAGUGAGUGGCGAACUGGUGAGUAACACGUGGGAAACCUGCCCAGAAGCGGGGGAUAACACCUGGAAACAGAUGCUAAUACCGCAUAACAACUUGGACCGCAUGGUCCGAGCUUGAAAGAUGGCUUCGGCUAUCACUUUUGGAUGGUCCCGCGGCGUAUUAGCUAGAUGGUGGGGUAACGGCUCACCAUGGCAAUGAUACGUAGCCGACCUGAGAGGGUAAUCGGCCACAUUGGGACUGAGACACGGCCCAAACUCCUACGGGAGGCAGCAGUAGGGAAUCUUCCACAAUGGACGAAAGUCUGAUGGAGCAACGCCGCGUGAGUGAAGAAGGGUUUCGGCUCGUAAAACUCUGUUGUUAAAGAAGAACAUAUCUGAGAGUAACUGUUCAGGUAUUGACGGUAUUUAACCAGAAAGCCACGGCUAACUACGUGCCAGCAGCCGCGGUAAUACGUAGGUGGCAAGCGUUGUCCGGAUUUAUUGGGCGUAAAGCGAGCGCAGGCGGUUUUUUAAGUCUGAUGUGAAAGCCUUCGGCUCAACCGAAGAAGUGCAUCGGAAACUGGGAAACUUGAGUGCAGAAGAGGACAGUGGAACUCCAUGUGUAGCGGUGAAAUGCGUAGAUAUAUGGAAGAACACCAGUGGCGAAGGCGGCUGUCUGGUCUGUAACUGACGCUGAGGCUCGAAAGUAUGGGUAGCAAACAGGAUUAGAUACCCUGGUAGUCCAUACCGUAAACGAUGAAUGCUAAGUGUUGGAGGGUUUCCGCCCUUCAGUGCUGCAGCUAACGCAUUAAGCAUUCCGCCUGGGGAGUACGGCCGCAAGGCUGAAACUCAAAGGAAUUGACGGGGGCCCGCACAAGCGGUGGAGCAUGUGGUUUAAUUCGAAGCUACGCGAAGAACCUUACCAGGUCUUGACAUACUAUGCAAAUCUAAGAGAUUAGACGUUCCCUUCGGGGACAUGGAUACAGGUGGUGCAUGGUUGUCGUCAGCUCGUGUCGUGAGAUGUUGGGUUAAGUCCCGCAACGAGCGCAACCCUUAUUAUCAGUUGCCAGCAUUAAGUUGGGCACUCUGGUGAGACUGCCGGUGACAAACCGGAGGAAGGUGGGGAUGACGUCAAAUCAUCAUGCCCCUUAUGACCUGGGCUACACACGUGCUACAAUGGAUGGUACAACGAGUUGCGAACUCGCGAGAGUAAGCUAAUCUCUUAAAGCCAUUCUCAGUUCGGAUUGUAGGCUGCAACUCGCCUACAUGAAGUCGGAAUCGCUAGUAAUCGCGGAUCAGCAUGCCGCGGUGAAUACGUUCCCGGGCCUUGUACACACCGCCCGUCACACCAUGAGAGUUUGUAACACCCAAAGUCGGUGGGGUAACCUUUUAGGAACCAGCCGCCUAAGGUGGGACAGAUGAUUAGGGUGAAGUCGUAAACAAAAGUCCU